GAUUAUGGCUCAGGAUGAACGCUGGCGGCGUGCCUAACACAUGCAAGUCGAACGGAGUUACGAGAGCUUGCUUUUGUAACUUAGUGGCGGACGGGUGAGUAAUGUAUGAGCAACCUGCCUUUCAGAGGGGGACAACAGUUGGAAACGACUGCUAAUACCGCAUAAUGUGCGGGGAGGGCAUCCUCCCUGUACCAAAGGAGCAAUCCGCUGAAAGAUGGGCUCAUAUCUGAUUAGUUAGUUAGCAGGGUAACGGCCUACCAAGACUGCGAUCAGUAGCCGGACUGAGAGGUUGAAUGGCCACAUUGGGACUGAGAUACGGCCCAGACUCCUACGGGAGGCAGCAGUGGGGAAUAUUGCACAAUGGGGGAAACCCUGAUGCCAGCGACGCCGCGUGAAGGAAGAAGUAUCUCGGUAUGUAAACUUCUAUCAGCAGGGAAGAUGAUGACGGUACCUGACUAAGAAGCCCCGGCUAACUACGUGCCAGCCGCAGC
rnacentral:rRNA from 1 species